rnacentral:rRNA from 1 species
CAGCAGCCGCGGUAAUACGUAGGUCCCGAGCGUUGUCCGGAUUUAUUGGGCGUAAAGCGAGCGCAGGCGGUUAGAUAAGUCUGAAGUUAAAGGCUGUGGCUUAACCAUAGUACGCUUUGGAAACUGUUUAACUUGAGUGCAAGAGGGGAGAGUGGAAUUCCAUGUGUAGCGGUGAAAUGCGUAGAUAUAUGGAGGAACACCGGUGGCGAAAGCGGCUCUCUGGCUUGUAACUGAUGCUGAGGCUCGAAAGCGUGGGGAGCAAACAGGAUUAGAUACCCCAGUAGUCCCUGUCUCUUAUACA